rnacentral:rRNA from 1 species
GAUGAACGCUGGCGGCGUGCCUAAUACAUGCAAGUCGAGCGAAUGGAUUAAGAGCUUGCUCUUAUGAAGUUAGCGGCGGACGGGUGAGUAACACGUGGGUAACCUGCCCAUAAGACUGGGAUAACUCCGGGAAACCGGGGCUAAUACCGGAUAACAUUUUGAACCGCAUGGUUCGAAAUUGAAAGGAGGCUUCGGCUGUCACUUAUGGAUGGACCCGCGUCGCAUUAGAUAGUUGGUGAGGUAACGGCUCACCAAGGCAACGAUGCGUAGCCGACCUGAGAGGGUGAUCGGCCACACUGGGACUGAGACACGGCCCAGACUCCUACGGGAGGCGGCAGUAGGGAAUCUUCCGCAAUGGACGAAAGUCUGACGGAGCAACGCCGCGUGAGUGAUGAAGGCUUUCGGGUCGUAAAACUCUGUUGUUAGGGAAGAACAAGUGCUAGUUGAAUAAGCUGGCACCUUGACGGUACCUAACCAGAAAGCCACGGCUAACUACGUGCCAGCCGCCGCCGUAA